UCGUUUAAAGCCAUUACGUCAGCAUCCUUAACGAUCUAGUCGCUCCAACCUUUUCACAACGGUCUAAACUGCUUCAGCAAGCUUCCACAAUUCAGACGUCGAUGAGAGGCCAGGAAACAUAAUCGUGCAAACCUCAAUCCCGAUCGCCACAUUCCGCCAAAGGUUAUAACACUCCCGAGGAGCCACAUCCCUUUGACCUUUUUAUGACAAUCGAAAUUGACGCUGACCAGCAGACACAAAAUGCACGGACAAA
rnacentral:rRNA from 1 species